UAGAAAUCUUAUAAAAACAAAUGUUGAAAAUCAAUCUGACUCUUCUGAUACUAGCCUCCUAAAUGAAAAGGUCGUUGGAACAGGCCCUGUCUUCAAGAUGAAUUCAGGUCCUACUUCAUCAACCGACUAUG